GCCGAUUUAGCUCAGUUGGUAGAGCGUCUGAUUUGUAAUCAGAAGGUCACAGGUUCAAGUCCUGUAGUCGGCA
rnacentral:tRNA from 1 species